rnacentral:rRNA from 1 species
UAUGUGAUCGUCUCUCGCAUAUCAAUAAGCGGAGGAAAAGAAACUAACAAGGAUUCCCCUAGUAACGGCGAGUGAAGCGGGAAGAGCUCAAAUUUGAAAUCUUAAAGGGUUUCCCUUUACGAAUUGUAGUUUAAAGAAGUGUUUUCUGUUGAGGUUUUGGUAAAAGUUCUUUGGAAUAGGACAUCAUAGAGGGUGAGAAUCCCGUAUUUGACCUUUACUUUCAACUUUGUGAUACACUUUCAAAGAGUCGGAUUGUUUGGGAAUGCAGUCCAAAAUGGGUGGUAAAUUUCAUCUAAAGCUAAAUAUUGGCGAGAGACCGAUAGCGAACAAGUACCGUGAGGGAAAGAUGAAAAGAACUUUGAAAAGAGAGUUAAACAGUACGUGAAAUUGUCAAAAGGGAAGCGUUUGACACCAGUGUUGUUUUUCUGAAAAUCAAUUAAAGAACUGUUUAUGCUAAGCUGUUUAGACUUUAUCAGCUAUCUGUUUAGUUUUGAGCUUUUCUUUAAUGCACUUUUCAGUUAACAAGUCAACAUCAAUUUCUUUUGCUGUAAAAAAGCUUGAGGAAGGUGGCUUGAGAUUCGUCUUAAGUGUUUAUAGCCUCUUGCCUAUGCAGUCGGAGAGAUUGAGGUCUGCAGCGUAGAUCCUUCGGGGCUAAAUGCAUUUGUGCUAAGUUAUAGCAUUUUAUAGACAACUUGUUGACUAUGAUUUGUCUCGUAGCUUACUCGCUUAUGUUAUUUUACCUACGCUUAGGAUGUUGAGCGCAUGUCUCUCUCU